GACGAACGCUGGCGGCGUGCUUAACACAUGCAAGUCGAACGGAAAGGCCCUGCUUUUGUGGGGUGCUCGAGUGGCGAACGGGUGAGUAACACGUGAGUAACCUGUCCUUGACUUUGGGAUAACCUCAGGAAACUGGGGGUAAUACCGGAUAGGAGCUCCUGCUGCUUGGUGGGGGCUGGAUAGUUUCGGCGGUUGGGGAUGGACUCGCGGCUUAUCAGCUUGUUGGUGGGGUAGUGGCUUACCAAGGCCUUGACGGGUAGCCGGCCUGGGAGGGUGACCGGCCACAUUGGGACUGAGAUACGGCCCAGACUCCUACGGGAGGCAGCAGUGGAGAAUAUUACACAAUAGGCGGAAGCCUGAUGCAGCAACGCCGCGUGCGGGAUGACGGCCUUCGGGUUGUGAACCACUUUCGCCUGUGACGAAGCGUGAGUGACGGUAAUGGGUAAAGAAGCACCGGCUAACUACGUG
rnacentral:rRNA from 1 species